GAUGAACGCUGGCGGCAGGCUUAACACAUGCAAGUCGAGCGGAUGAAGGUAGCUUGCUACCGGAUUCAGCGGCGGACGGGUGAGUAAUGCUUAGGAAUCUGCCUAUUAGUGGGGGACAACGUUCCGAAAGGGGCGCUAAUACCGCAUACGUCCUACGGGAGAAAGCAGGGGACCUUCGGGCCUUGCGCUAAUAGAUGAGCCUAAGUCGGAUUAGCUAGUUGGUAGGGUAAAGGCCUACCAAGGCGACGAUCUGUAGCGGGUCUGAGAGGAUGAUCCGCCACACUGGGACUGAGACACGGCCCAGACUCCUACGGGAGGCAGCAGUGGGGAAUAUUGGACAAUGGGGGGAACCCUGAUCCAGCCAUGCCGCGUGUGUGAAGAAGGCCUUUUGGUUGUAAAGCACUUUAAGCGAGGAGGAGGCUACCUAGAUUAAUACUUUAGGAUAGUGGACGUACUCGCAGAAUAAGC
rnacentral:rRNA from 1 species